rnacentral:lncRNA from 10 species
AGUGGCAUGAGAACACCCCAGGAUGCCUGCUAACACAUGUAGCUUCUGAGGCCCUGCACUCUGGAGGUUCAAACUGAGAAGGCUCUGAGGGUAAGAGUGGGGAACUAGGAUCUCUAGAGAACUCUGAGGCAGAGGUCUGCUUCCCUCACUGACACUGCCUGGCUACCAGGUUGGUCCUGGGUUCUUCACAUACAAGGAGGGAACGGUUUUAUCUGUUCAAGGUGCUUUCUCUAUUCAGAGUCAGCAAACUUCUCUGGAGCAACUACCCAAAUCAGAUGUUGUGCUGGCUGUAAUUUAACAUUUAUUUUAUGAUUAUUUGAUUAAUGAUUAUCUCCCUCAUUAUACUAUAAGUUCAAAACAAGGGUAUAAUAAAUUUGCCCAUCUUGCUCACUAAUAUAUGCCAGGGCCUACAAUAGAGUUGAUAUUCAAUGGCUAUUUGUUAAAUGAAUGAAUGGAGUCAAUGAAUAAAUAAAAUGCAAACAAAGACAAAUGAAAUCCAUUCCCUGUCCUCAAUGUGCUUAUAACCUUUUAGGUAGCUGGGCAAGUAAACAUUUCAGAACAAUAAAGAGUUCUUGCUGUGUUAUGCCACAUGUGGCCCAGGCAUGAGGGCACUAUCUCCCCAGCAGGGCUGAACCCAAACUAGGUCAGGCAGGAAGAUGACAAGACUGGAUCAUCAGCAUGGGUGGGCUGACCUGAAAUGGGCUAGACAAGGGCAAGUCAGAUGGGGAACAGUGGGAAUAAAAUAAAGAUAACUGUCAAUUUGUCACUAAGGCAGGUAAGCUGCAAAAAUGAUAAGACAUGAGUUAUCAAUCACUGAGUGUCUGCAGUGGGCCAGGCCUUCUGCUCUGGACUCAUAUUUGCAUGUACUUUAUCCCACUGAAUUCUCACAGUAAUCUUACAAGAGAAGAAGCAUCAGUUCCAUCAUACAAGUGGAGAAACUAAGGCUUAGAGAGGUUAACUCCUGUGACCCUAAGAGCACAGCGAAGAUUCAAACCCAAGGCAAUGUGAGUCCAUGGCCCAUGUUGUGUUGUACUCUAGGCAGGCAGAAUAAUGAUCCCUGCAAGAGGACAGGGAUGACAAAUCAGAGGAAGUGAGUACAGGACAGCUGAAAGUCUUUCCAUGUAUGAAGUUGCACCAACAGAGGCUUGUGGCCACCACCCUCUUUAAACAGAAGCAUUCGGAGUUUUCUCUCAGCAUUAACCGUCCCAAGGUACCUGUUCCAUCUUAAUCUUAAAAGGUCCUCAAAGGAAUUUUGUCACAAAGAUCUGGUCAACCCAAGUGUCUUUCACAUUAUCCCCUCCCCUUACCCCACAGACAAUGCCUUAAUUCUGGCCUCGCCUGCCUUGCCUAGACCAUGGCAGGAGCAUGCUAACUGGUCUCUCCUCUAAUCUGCUCUCCAGCCAAAAGGAAUCUUGGGAACACAAAUCUGGGCAUCACUUCCUUGUAUGAAACCCUUCAAAGCAGUGGUCUUCAAUCAAAACUACUCAUUAGAAUCACAUGGAAGAUUUUAGAACGUAUCAGUCCCUGGGCUUUUUUUUCUUUUUUUUGAGACAGAGUCUCGCUCUGUUGCCCAGGCUGGAGUACAGUGGCGUGAUCUCAGCUCACUGCAACCUCUGCCUCCUGGGUUCAAGCAAUUCUCCUGCCUCAGCCUCCCGAGUAGCUGGGAUUACAGGUACCUGACAACAUGCCCAGCUAAUUUUUGUAUUUUUAGUAGAGACAGUUCACCAUGUUGGCCAGGCUGGUGUCGAACUCCUGACCUCAAGUGAUCUGCCGGCCUCAGCCUCCCAAAAUGCUGGGAUUACAGGAGUGAGCCACCACGCCCGGUGAUCUACAAUAUUUUGAACCAUUUUUAUUUAACUGUAACCUCCAAAGAUGAUUUAAUUGACCUGAGAUGGGGCCCAGCCAUAUUUUUGAAAAGCUCCUCAGGUGCUUCUAACAUGGAUCCAAGCUUGAACACCACUGCAGUUUAAUGGAUGAGAUGCCCACUUUUAAGCCAAAAAUACUAAGCUCAGACUUGGACCUCCUCUUCCACCUCUCCUUCCUGCCCCCAUAUUCAACAAUCUAACCAUACUGAGCUGCUGAUUCCCCAGGGAUUGCAUAUGAUUUCAAGCUGUCACUCUUCAACACAUGAUAUAAUCUUUGUCUGGAACAUGUCCUAUCCCACUUUCUAGAAAACUCCUUACCAUUUGUCUUAGUCCAUUCUCUGUUGCUAUCACUGAAUACUUGAUACUGGGUAAUUUAUUUAAAAAAUAAAUGUAUUUCUUACAGUUCUAGAAGCUAUGAAGUCCAAGGUCAAGAGGCAACAUCUCAGGAGGGCCUUCUUGCUGGUGGGGACUCUCUGCAGAGUCCCGAGGUGGCACAGGGCAUCACAUGGCAAAGGGGGCAUACUGAGAGCCAAACUAGCUUUUAAUACAGACCUACUCUAAUAAUAACUAACCCACCCUGUGAUAACUCAAUCCAUUUAUCCAUGAAUGGAUUAAUCCAUUCAUGAGGUCAGAGCCCUCAUGACCCACCACCUCUUAAAGGCCCUGCCUCUUAAUACUAUUAUACUGGGG